rnacentral:lncRNA from 1 species
UUCCCUUGUUCUUCUAUUCCCACAGGAGCAUCAUGAAAAUGUUCUCCAGCAUCUGGAAGGGCAUUUUUGGCCAAGAUCUGUGAGCACUGAUUGGCUGGACCAGGUGGGAAGGGUAGCAACUGGGACGGAUACAGGAAAAGGAGCGGUUGUUCCGUUUCUCCUCUGCUACCAACUUCCCCGCCUCUAACAGACCAGCGUCAUGUUACGAGAGUUGGUAAAAACCAUCAGGAGGAAGUACAUCCCUGGUGCUCAGUGAUUAAGAAUCUGCCUGCCAAUGCAGAGGACGUGGGUUCAAUCCCUGGUCUGGGAAGAUUCCAUAUGCCACGGGGCAGCUAAGUCCAUGCACUGCAGCUACUGAGCCUGCCUGCUGUAACUACUGAAGCCCACGUGUCCAGAGUCUGUGCCCCGCAACAAGAGAUGCGGCCGCAGUGACAAGCCUGUGCGCUGCAACUGGAGAGCAGACCCUGCCCACAGCAAUGGAGACGCAGCACAGCCGUAAAAAAAUCAAUACAAACUAUUUUUAGAAAACCGUCAGGAGGAAAGCGAAGGUCAUGAGAGAGACUGAGCACAGAUGGCGCUUCCUGUUUGGUAACACCUCACGUGGGCUCCUCGUCCCCCACCGACUCUGCCAGUCACCAUCCCACACAGUCAAGCAUGCCCAGGAUUACAGGUUUGUCAAGAACACAUCCUCGUGUCUGCCAAGGAGUGCCUGUUGGAGGAAGAAUUCGAACAGAGGACGUUCGGAGAUCGAGCCUCAUGAGAUCAGCAUUCUCAACUCUUCUAAGGUUGACAAACAGGGAGGGGUGAGUGGUCCCAAAGGCCGGGUAAAGCAUAUCUGUAAUCCACACGUCAGCUGCGAGGAAGGCCAAGCUGUGGGUGGAGUCGGAGCCUUGAGACAGACCAAAGCCAUCGUGAUAACAGCCCCAUAAUGGGGACACUGGUGUCUUAUCAUGUGCAAAGCAUUUUCCUUGACAUGCUGAGUGCUCACAGAUGACUAUCUCCGAGCUGAUUAUCCUGUACCAUACAUGAUCAUAUAUCUCUGAAUGUGUUAGUAGAGCCUCAGGAGAAGAAGGCUGCCAUGCUCAUUGUACAGAUGGUCAGGGAGAUUUUCAGAGAUUUAUCCCCCCCAAGAUCACGUAGCAAGUGAGGAUGAGAUGUCAGACUUGAACUCAGAUCCUUUGACUCCAAGUGAUGGAUUUUAAAGCAAAAGAGCACGGCUAUUCUGGGCACUAGAAGCUAGGGCUGAAAUCAGUUCACACGCUCCUUGGUCCCUGAGGAACUUUCACUUUCAGCCUGCACACUUGUGUAGGGGGAGGUGUUACACGGAGGGGAAAGCUCUGAACUGCUUCGAGGCAAGAGGGUUUUCUGGGGGAAAGCCAGGGACCGGAGGAUAGAAUGCUGGAGUGGAGGCCUCAACUCUUUGACCCACUUCAAGUCUGUGAAACCUCAGCCUCCUCAUCUGAAAAUGGGAGGAAAGACAUUGAUAUCCACCUUAAAGGAUGUCUGUGAGGACCCAGUAGAGGAUGGGAUGAAAAUGUUUGGAAAACCCCAUGAAAGCUGAAGCUCUCAUUUCAAGUAACAAUGCUUCAGCUGCAAGUAACAGAACAGACAGCUCCAGGGGUUUUACCAGCCAAAGUUUUCUUUUUCUCAUGAAGUAAGAAGUCCCUGGUGAGUCAUAUAGGGCAGGGCAGAAGGAUAAUAAUGCCAUGGAGAGCCUGGCUUCUUUCUGUUUUUCUGCUCCAUCUUCAUCCUCAUGUAGUUACCUUGUAAGCACAAGGUGGCUGCUGCACCUCCAGGCCUCAUGUUCAAGUUCCAAGCAGGAAAAAGAAGGGAGAAGGAGAAAGAGUUGGUGCCUAUAGCAGGAGUGCAAACAUUGUCUUAGAAAUCCCGUAACUCACUGGCCAGAACUGUAAUCAAAAAGCCAGCUUCUAUACACAGGAGCCUGGGGAUGUGAGGAUUUGUGGCCAGGCACAGCAUCACCCUGAUCAAAUCCAGGGUUUGAGCGGAAGAGGAGAAGCCAGAAUCCAUGAUGGAUGGAAGCUGGCUGUAGUGCCUGUUAUAACUCUGCUGCUGCCAUGGGGGCUGAAUUCACGGGGAUCCUUUACAUUCAGUCACUGGGUUGGGGUGAAGGCAAAUCAGUAAAUCCUUUGAGGAAAUAAUGAAAUGCAGUAUCCUAUUGUCAGAAUGGGAAACAGAGUCAGGCUGGGUGAAUGCUGAACAAGCAGAAGGGUAACUGCUGCUGUGGGUCUGGGAGGCCGAGGGUAGAGGUUCAGGGCCCCCUCCCUCCACCCCGUCCUUAUUCUCAUUUGUUCAGUUUCAUGAGUCCUGUUGACUGAGGCUGGGAGGACUGAAUCCGGGGAGCUCAUUUCUAGCCACUGUGUUUGUAUAUGUCUCCACCCGAAGAUGUCUAACCACAGACUUCCUCUUGACUCCUGGCAACAGAGAGAAAACAAAACCACAGCAGCUUUCAUUGCUGAAAACACAAAACUGACUCGUUUGCCUAAUAAGCCCUGAUGGAAGGGUUUUAUUUCUGAGAGGAAAUGCUGAAGUCUCCAGUCCAAGGAGCCUCUGGUGGGCAGUCAGAUCGCCACAGACUGAAAUGUGAUGUCCAGGCAGAAGGCAGCCGCUAACCCAGGGGUCAGGAGCCCAGGGGCAGGGGCCACACUGCUGACCAGUGGGGCCUGGCCUGAUGGACAUACUUGCAGAACUGCGCCCUCCACCCAGCCCUGCAAUCCUAUUAGUCUCUUCAGCCAAUUUUGAUUUUAUGGGAUCUGUGUAUUCUCUUUUCUCUUAUUUUCCAUGUUAUUAAUUUCAGGUAUUGAUUAACUCCCAUCUUGUACUUGCUUUUUCUGUUUGCUUUUCUCAUUUCUUAUGAUGUGUCUUCAGGUCUGUACAUAUUCCCCCGGAGCUGAGCUUUUUUUUCCAGAUCUCAUAGGUUUUGGAAAUAAAAUGUUCCACUUUUCAUCUCUUUUUAGAUGAUUUUUAAUUUCAGUUUUACUGUUUCUUUUGAUCCAUGGGUUAUCUAGAAGAAUGUUUAUUAAUUUCCAAGUAGUUAAGAAUAUUUUCAGC